AGCAGCCGCGGUAAUUCCAGCUCCAAUAGCGUAUAUUAAAGUUGUUGCAAGUUAAAAAGCUCGUAGUUGAAUUUCAGGCCUGGCUGGACGGUCCGCCCUUCGGGUGAGUACUGUCUGUGGUCGGGUCCUACCUUCUGGCGAAGCGUCAUGGCCUUAACCGGCCGUGGCGGGGAACCAGGACUUUUACUGUGAAAAAUUAGAGUGUUCAAAGCAGGCAAUCGCUUUGGAUAACAUUAGCAUGGAAUAAUGGAAUAGGA
rnacentral:rRNA from 1 species